UAUAAACUGAGUUCACUAAUCAAAAAUUCAAAAUUUGUGCUUCACUUUCAAAAUUCAAUCCAUUUCUCUCUCAACUCUCUCUCUAACUCACUUUCUCUCUCUCAAAUCCAGACCAAACCACCGUAUCGUGUUCUUAAUUAUUCAGUUCAUAUGUGUUGAUUAUUAGUUUAUUACCGUAUCCAGACCAAACCACCGUAUCCAGACAAAACCACCGUUGGAUUCACCUAAGAAUUUAACAAGGAUUGGAUACAGUCCUGAACUAGGGAGAAAGAGAGAGAAACGAGAUCUACAGACGGUGAAAUAGAGAAAAAAACGCAAAUGAGAGAGAGGGAAGAGUAACCGCAGCAAGCAAUGGCCAGGCGAUGACAGCUAGCUCAGCCAAAAGAAACGAAAGAGCCGAACGAGUCAAAGCAGAGGACCAAAGAGCCACUAAACUUGGAUGUAACUCCUUACACCGAUAAGAUCAUCGCUGAAUACAUCUGGUUGACUUACUAAGAGGUCAGCUGCGAAGAGUAAGAGAAAGAUAUAGUAAACCCCUAAAUUCAACAUCGGAUGAAGAAGAUCUUCAUCUUGCAGAGACCAAUACUAACAUCAAUGACCAAGAAGCUGAAACAAAGGUGGAAGCUGUGUCGAAAGAGAAUCUUUCGGAAGGGUGUAAUCAAAAUGAAACGGUGUAUCGGUUGGAAACUUCAAAGAAUUCAUCUGAAAAAUUAGUUCAUCAGCAAAAGCAUAUCUGCAAAAUCAGUUUUUACUCGCUGCGAAAUCAGUCCGUUCACGGAAAGGUGUUUACUUGUAGAAUUUGACUCAUUUGCAGUUCCGUUCAACGGCAGAAAUUAGUCGUUGUUGUUAUUAUUUGUUGCAGUUGCAAAUCAAUCUUUGUUCAGUCAUUAUAAUCAGUCGUAAAAUAUGUUCGAGGUUCGUGUUCAUUUUAGAAUCAGUGUAAAUCACAGACGUUAUUCGCUGAUCAAAAGCAGAUCUGUUGUUGUUCAGUCCAUACGUAGAAUCGUUGUCCUUCACUGAAAUCAGCCGCCGUAGAAAUCGUUGAUUGCAGAUCUGUUGUUGUUGUUCAUUCCAUACGCAGAAUCGUUGUCCUUCACUGUUAUCAGUUGAAGAAACAGUCCGCAGAAUUAGUCCGUUUAAUCACCUGCAGAAUCGAAGGAAUUUGAAGAAAUCGAAACAUUAUUGUUCAGUCCGCGGAAUUUUGUUCCAUUCGCUGAAACAAAGAGUUUUGUCUGCAGAAUUAGAUCAUUUCGUAAACUGCAGAAUUUGGUUCGGUUCAUUCACUGAUUUUUGUGCAUUCGCGCAGAGUUUAAAUCUCAUUCACUGUUUUGAAGUUCAUCAGCUUAGCAGAAUUCACUGAAAGAAGUAUCAUUCAUUCACAUAAUUGUUUGUUUCAAAGUUUAUUUGCGCAGAAUUCACGGAAAUUGAUUGAAAUCAGAUUCAUUCGUUGCUGCAAAAGUGUUCGUUCGUACACUUAGUCAUCCACAGAAUCUGUUUGACUUCGUCCAACCGCUGAAAAUAGUAUUCGCAAAAUCCAUUCGUCGCAAAAUCAACUUGUAGUCCAUCGGCUCGACAACUUGAAUCUGAUUCCGCAUGAAUUUGAAUUGUUAUUGAGUUGUCGAAACUAGAAAUGAAAUCUGUAGUGUUAGUAUACAGUUCCGAGAUAGAAGCUAGAACGGAUCCACGUUUGGAUAUAAAUCGGCAAGUUGUUUCGGAUCCACAUACGAAUGUAGACUGAAAGAUGUUGAAGAAACAUGGGUUAUAAUAAAAUCACAAAACAUCAUGAAUGAUGAAGAUUACAUAACACAUGAGUUAAAUGCCAAAGAAAGUGUAGUGCUUGAAAUGUUAUAAUCCAUUCACAGUACCUAAUUACUCUUAAAUACGAUAACUUUUUAAGCUUUUUUUUGUUGUUUUCCUUUUAAUCAAUCAAUUAUCAGUUCCCGGUUGCAGAUGGUGGUUGAGGGAGGUUCCGACAAACCGAGGUAUAUCGGGCGAGGUUGAUGAAUAAACAAUUCAAAAAUAUGAGAAAGAAGCCAAGGAUAAGAGUAGAGAGAGCUG
rnacentral:lncRNA from 1 species